rnacentral:rRNA from 1 species
GACGAACGCUGGCGGCGUGCUUAACACAUGCAAGUCGAACGGAAAGGCCCUGCUUUUGUGGGGUGCUCGAGUGGCGAACGGGUGAGUAACACGUGAGUAACCUGCCCUUGACUUUGGGAUAACUUCAGGAAACUGGGGCAAAUACCGGAUAGGAGCUCCUGCUGCAGGGGGGGGGUGGGAAGGUUUCGGCGGUGGGGGAUGGACUCGCGGCUUAUCAGCUUGUUGGUGGGGUAGUGGCUUACCAAGGCUUUGACGGGUAGCCGGCCUGAGAGGGUGACCGGCCACAUUGGGACUGAGAUACGGCCCAGACUCCUACGGGAGGCAGCAGUGGGGAAUAUUGCACAAUGGGCGGAAGCCUGAUGCAGCAACGCCGCGUGCGGGAUGACGGCCUUCGGGUUGUAAACCGCUUUCGCCUGUGACGAAGCGUGAGUGACGGUAAUGGGUAAAGAAGCACCGGCUAACUACGUG